AAAUUGAAGAGUUUGAUCAUGGCUCAGAUUGAACGCUGGCGGCAGGCCUAACACAUGCAAGUCGAGCGGAAACGAGUUGUCAGAACCUUCGGGGGACGAUAACGGCGUCGAGCGGCGGACGGGUGAGUAAUGCCUAGGAAAUUGCCCUGAUGUGGGGGAUAACCAUUGGAAACGAUGGCUAAUACCGCAUGAUGCCUACGGGCCAAAGAGGGGGACCUUCGGGCCUCUCGCGUCAGGAUAUGCCUAGGUGGGAUUAGCUAGUUGGUGAGGUAAGGGCUCACCAAGGCGACGAUCCCUAGCUGGUCUGAGAGGAUGAUCAGCCACACUGGAACUGAGACACGGUCCAGACUCCUACGGGAGGCAGCAGUGGGGAAUAUUGCACAAUGGGCGCAAGCCUGAUGCAGCCAUGCCGCGUGUGUGAAGAAGGCCUUCGGGUUGUAAAGCACUUUCAGUCGUGAGGAAGGUAGUGUAGUUAAUAGCUGCAUUAUUUGACGUUAGCGACAGAAGAAGCACCGGCUAACUCCGUGCCAGCAGCCGCGGUAAUACGGAGGGUGCGAGCGUUAAUCGGAAUUACUGGGCGUAAAGCGCAUGCAGGUGGUUUGUUAAGUCAGAUGUGAAAGCCCGGGGCUCAACCUCGGAAUUGCAUUUGAAACUGGCAGACUAGAGUACUGUAGAGGGGGGUAGAAUUUCAGGUGUAGCGGUGAAAUGCGUAGAGAUCUGAAGGAAUACC
rnacentral:rRNA from 1 species